GACAUUAGAUCAUCACCUAGAGAGGAUCCUAUACUGAAAGUUGAAAGAUCAGGGGCAUGUUUGUUUGGUGUUAUAGUUUAUGCUGUACACAUCAAUGGUGAUACUACAAAAGACAACCAGUUAAUGAUGUGGUUUGGUAGACGAUGAAACUCUAGGCCUACAUAUCAUAAUAUGUUAGAUAAUAUGGUAAGUAUAUAUCAGAAUAUUAGUUUUUUAAGCGAUAAAAAAAAAUGUCACUAAUGGAAAUUGUAAAAUUUGGGGCCAAUGCUAAAUAUCUCAAAAUAUUAAUUGCAUAGCGUGAUGAACGAUAUCUUUUAAUCAGCUUUACUUUAUAUUACACAGUCGUUGAGUAAAACAGAUUUUUCUGUGUUUGUGACAUUUUUAUUUCAGUGUUCAGGUGGGCUGACGUCAGGACAGAGUGUCAGACAAUGCGCUAUUAAAGAAUGUGCAGAAGAGGCAUCAGUACCAAAAAAACUGACAGACAAACUAAAAGCAGUAGGAUGUGUGAGCCAUAUAUUUGAAGAUAAACGAGGAGUUUUCCCUGAGUGUGAGUAUGUAUUUGACCUACAUCUACCAUCAAAUUUUUGGCCUGUGAAUGCUGAUGGUGAAGUUGGCAGUUUCGAAAUGAUUACUAUUGAA